CCAGAUUCUUCUUCUCCCUUAAGAAAAUAAAUUUGAGACUAAAAUUUCUUGCUUUCUUCAUUUUAUCUGAUUGAGGAAUAUUGAGGAUUGACCAAACGCAAAAGCGACUGGAUAUUCAGAUUCCUCAGGUACCGCAUCAAGCACUGGUAAUACAGAAUCAAGCACAGAUGGCAAUAAGUCUAUACAUGGUAAUACAGAGUCGAGCACAGAUGGCAAUAAGCUUAUACAUGGUCAAGAAUCAAGCACAGAUGGCAAUAAGCUCAUACAUGGUCAUAUGUCAUACAAGGCAUGUGCUGUUAAAGGCAAGACAUGUGCUGUUAAUAGUAGAGGAACCGAUCAUCAAGGCAAUCACCAAAGUCAACGCAAUACCAAGCAUCGAUGACAGUUACUCUCUCUGAUAUGCAAGCUUCCAUAUACGUGAUAUGUAAUAACAGUAUAUAUUGAUCAACUUGUAUCAUAAGAAAACAGUGGAGUGGAAAUAUAAUAAUAAUUUCUCUUGAAAAUCUUUAUGGUAUCAGAGCCACAUCCU